UCUACUCAGCACCAGCCCUGACCUCACCCACCCUGGCUCCACCCUUCCACUCCCUGACCACGCCCCACCUCGGCCUCGCCAGGGCCUUGGCCCCGCCCUAAUCUCGCUCCCACCUUGGUCCAGCCCUGCACCGGUCUCCCCAGAGCGGGCCUGGCGUCCAGGGGCCUCUCACCAUCAAAGAGGGUAAAGAAAGCCUCUCUCUCGUCCCUGAUGUCCAGACGGUAAAAAGUCUGGCGGGAAAUGGCGCUCCGGUGUGAUGAAUGGAAGACCCUCGUGAACCUGAAGGAAACAUCCAGGAAAACGAGGUGACACCCGUGUCCUGCCAGAUGUGAUUAUCUGAUGGGCCCUAAAUCCAGCGACCAGUGGCCUCGGGAGAGGGAGGGAGAGCGGAGGAGACACAGAGGGGAGAAGCCAACUGAAGAUGCGGCAGCGGCCGGAAGGAUGCGGCCACAAGCUCCCGGACGCCUGGAGCCCCAGAGGCUGAGAGAGGCAGGAAGGACCCGCCCCAGAGCCUCCGGAGGGAGCAGGUGGCCUCCAGAACCGUGAGAGAAUACAUUUCCGU